rnacentral:rRNA from 1 species
CAGCAGCCACGGUAAAACGGAGGGUGCAAGCGUUAUCCGGAUUUAUUGGGUUUAAAGGGUCCGUAGGCGGAUCUGUAAGUCAGUGGUGAAAUCUCACAGCUUAACUGUGAAACUGCCAUUGAUACUGCAGGUCUUGAGUAAAUUUGAAGUGGCUGGAAUAAGUAGUGUAGCGGUGAAAUGCAUAGAUAUUACUUAGAACACCAAUUGCGAAGGCAGGUCACUAAGAUUUAACUGACGCUGAUGGACGAAAGCGUGGGGAGCGAACAGGAUUAGAGACCCCCGUAGUCCCUGUCUCUUAUAA